rnacentral:rRNA from 1 species
ACGUAGGUGGCAAGCGUUUUCCGGAUUUAUUGGGCGUAAAGCGAGCGCAGGCGGUCUUUUAAGUCUGAUGUGAAAGCCUUCGGCUUAACCGGAGAAGUGCAUCGGAAACUGGGAGACUUGAGUGCAGAAGAGGACAGUGGAACUCCAUGUGUAGCGGUGAAAUGCGUCGAUAUAUGGAAGAACACCAGUGGCGAAGGCGGCUGUCUGGUCUGUAACUGACGCUGAGGCGCGAAAGCAUGUGUAGCUAACGG